GCGGAUCCAGACCUGAACCUUCGCGAGGAUAAAAAAUCCAGCUCUCCAAGAUCACUUCGUGAAACUUCCUGAACCAGUCCGGUGUCGAUGCCCAAGCCGCCCACCACUCGUGAUCGUAUUCGUCCCCGGUAGUCGCGAUGCGCAUUCGAAUCACCAUGCGCUCAAGUGGGGAAAGGCGUUUUCGCAAACCGCCCUUGUCACUCGUAAAACCCCGGUACACCGCCUGCCGUUUCAAUCGUGUCGAAGUAGCGCUAUUGAAAAGAAGUUUUUCCCCUUGUACAAAAGCAGGAGAGGCAAAGCACUUGAAGAUUUCGCGGCGCUUCUUCUCGUCUCGACGGUCGUCAUCCAUUGA
rnacentral:misc_RNA from 1 species